GAUGAACGCUGACAGAAUGCUUAACACAUGCAAGUCAACUUGAAUUUGGGUUUUUAACUUAGGUUUGGGUGGCGGACGGGUGAGUAACGCGUAAAGAACUUGCCUCACAGCUAGGGACAACAUUUGGAAACGAAUGCUAAUACCUAAUAUUAUGAUAAUAGGGCAUCCUAUAAUUAUGAAAGCUAUAAGCGCUGUGAGAGAGCUUUGCGUCCCAUUAGCUAGUUGGAGAGGUAACGGCUCACCAAGGCGAUGAUGGGUAGCCGGCCUGAGAGGGUGAUCGGCCACAAGGGGACUGAGACACGGCCCUUACUCCUACGGGAGGCAGCAGUGGGAAAUAUUGGACAAUGGACCAAGAGUCUGAUCCAGCAAUUCUGUGUGCACGAUGAAGUUUUUCGGAAUGUAAAGUGCUUUCAGUUGGGAAGAAAGAAAUGACGGUACCAACAGAAGAAGUGACGGCUAAAUACGUG
rnacentral:rRNA from 1 species